AUUGAACGCUGGCGGCAGGCCUAACACAUGCAAGUCGAACGGUAGCACAGAGGAGCUUGCUCCUUGGGUGACGAGUGGCGGACGGGUGAGUAAUGUCUGGGAAACUGCCCGAUGGAGGGGGAUAACUACUGGAAACGGUAGCUAAUACCGCAUAACGUCGCAAGACCAAAGAGGGGGACCUUCGGGCCUCUUGCCAUCGGAUGUGCCCAGAUGGGAUUAGCUAGUAGGUGGGGUAACGGCUCACCUAGGCGACGAUCCCUAGCUGGUCUGAGAGGAUGAUCAGCCACACUGGAACUGAGACACGGUCCAGACUCCUACGGGAGGCAGCAGUGGGGAAUAUUGCACAAUGGGCGCAAGCCUGAUGCAGCCAUGCCGCGUGUAUGAAGAAGGCCUUCGGGUUGUAAAGUACUUUCAGUCGUGAGGAAGGUUGUAGUGUGAAUAGCACUAUGAUUUGACGUUAGCGACAGAAGAAGCACCGGCUAACUCCGUGCCAGCCGCCGCCGUAAUAC
rnacentral:rRNA from 1 species